rnacentral:lncRNA from 1 species
GAGAGGCUUAGCAGGGCUUGAAUUAGAGUCUAUCAGAAUGAAAACAAGUGGAUAAAUAUAAGAAGCAGUGUGUGGGCAUUGUUGUUAGGGCUGUCAUCAACUUGUAGGCAUCUUCGAGAAGCUUUUACUUGAUCCUUGCAUCUGCCACAGCACCUGAGGUCUUGUGUGAGGGCCUGGAUAUACAGUGCUGAGUAAAACACAGAGAGGGUCCAUGCCUGCUUGGACCACAGAACAUCUAGAGAAAAAGACAGACUUUGAAAAAUAUUCAGACAGGGUCUCUCUGUUGUCCAGGCUACAGUGCAGUGGUGCAAUCAUAGCUCACUGCAGCCUCGAUCUCCUGGGCUCAAAUGAUCCUCCCAUCUCAGCCUCCGAAGUAGCUGGAACUACAGGCCAUCUCAAAGACCCUAUCUAUGAGGAAGAAGAAAAGAAGUAGAAAGAGGAAGAGAAGAAGGAAAAAAAAUAAAGAAUAGGGAAGAGGAAGAAAAAGACAAAGAGACUCAAGCCCUAUCCUAAGUUUGUUUUGUUUUAUUUUCAAAGCAAUAUGUGAUAGCAGGUCUCAGAGUUAGGAGGAAGUGCCGUAUAAUGGAAAGAACACAGGCUAAGAAGCAAAGUUUAAUUUAUAUCUUAUUUGCUUUAUGACCUUCAGGAAGUAAUUUAACCUCUCUAAUUCUCAUUUUCCUCAUUUCCAAAAUGAAACAACUAAAAUUUACUUUUCAAAACUAUUGUAAAUAUUGAAGAUGAGGUCUAUAAAGAAGCUGGUGAUAAUUGUUUAAACAGGCUCUUAUAAUCAAAACAAGGUAAUUCCUUGGUACUUAUUAUAACAGAACCUGAUUCACAUAAUCUCUCUCUCUCUCUCUCUCUCACACACGCACACACACACACACACACUUUAACUUUUAGCAUGCAUAAAAAAUUAGAAGAUAUAGGUAAAUAAAAUUUGACUUCAGUAGGCUUUUGCUAUUUCAUGAUUUCUCUCCAAUCCAGUAUCACUUUAACUUGUGGAUAUAUAAAAAAACAAAAGAAAAAAAAAAUCAGUGGGACUCCUGUCUGCUCUUCCACUAAUUGAUUUAAAUGAAAACUGACUUUAUUGGUUGAUAAUCAAUAUGGAGUUGAGAAGGCAGUACCCCAGGGUUUAGGAUUUGAGCAAUAUCAUUUUUGUGAUUUGCCUUUGGCCUUCUUUUAUGUUACUGAAACACGACUGUUUAAAAUAAAUCUUUGUGAAUUGAAGAAGCAUUUUAUUUCUUAUCCUGAAUAAAAA